rnacentral:rRNA from 1 species
UGGGGAAUAUUGCGCAAUGGCCGCAAGGCUGACGCAGCGACGCCGCGUGCGGGAUGAAGCCCUUCGGGGUGUAAACCGCUGUUGCUCGGGAAGAACAUACGGGGUUUCCCCGUACUGACGGUACCGAGUGAGGAAGCACCGGCUAACUCCGUGCCAGCAGCCGCGGUAAUACGGAGGGUGCAAGCGUUGUCCGGAAUCACUGGGCGUAAAGGGCGCGUAGGCGGCUUGGUGCGCGUGCGGUGAAAGCUCGGGGCUUAACCCCGAGUCUGCCGUGCGGACGGCCAGGCUAGGGCACUGUAGAGGCAGGUAGAAUUCCGGGUGUAGCGGUGGAAUGCGUAGAGAUCCGGAAGAAUACCGGUGGCGAAGGCGGCCUGCUGGGCAGUAGCCGACGCUGAGGCGCGACAGCGUGGGGAGCAAACAGGAUUAGAUACCCCCGUAGUCC